GGUUCCGUGGUUGAAUUGACAACGUUAAAUUGCAAAUUUGAAGGUGUGCUGGGAAAUGGUUCCGGGAUCU
rnacentral:tRNA from 1 species